UGGCGGUGAAUUCUGAGUGAG
rnacentral:misc_RNA from 1 species